rnacentral:lncRNA from 1 species
GAAGAGCGAGGCUCGCUCAGCAUCUCGCCCUGCUCUGCUAGGAGAGGAGCUGGGUUUCACCCGCGCCUGCCCGGCCUUUCCCUUUAAGACAGCAGAUUGCGUGUGUUUUGGUAUCUUCCCCUUCCUAAGAUAAUGGCUGUUUGUUUUGUUCCUCAAGACUGCACACUCCCCCAAGGUCAAGCUGUUUUCUUUCUGGCUUCAGUUACUUACCUCUGAACCUUGAAAGGCAGAAGACAAACGCUCAGUUGGAGAGAACGCCAUCCCUCUCAGACCCGCUCUUAAAAGACACUUCCAGAACUGAAGCACAAGGUCACUUUCUGAACGGGACACCAAGGGCAGCAGUCUGCAGAAUGACGAGGUCACCGUUUACGGCACUCCAUCAAACCCAGAGCUCAUCUAUUAUAAUGAUCUCAGUGGCCAGUUUACUCUGUGGAUCCAGAGUCUGCAGAACCAGGCUGAAAUAUGGCUUGCUCUGCCAGUCUAGCGUUAUAAUCUAGGAUUCCGGAGAUCCAUCACUCUGGGGUCAGACUCCAGGCCCUCUCGCCUAUGUGACAAGUGCCUUUCCAUAGCUAGCUGAGAAAAGGCCCUGCUUUGUGUUUUGGAUGGUAGAAGAGCAUUGCAGGCUUUGAAAGAGCUGGGCUCACUGUUGAGAGAGUUCACGGA